GGCUCAGGAUGAACGCUAGCGGCAGGCUUAAUACAUGCAAGUCGUACGGGAUCCGAGGUAGCAAUACUUUGGUGAGAGUGGCGCACGGGUGCGUAACACGUAUGCAACCUACCUUUAACCGGGACACAACCUCGAGAAAUUGAGGCUAAUAUCCCAUAACACUGCGAAGUGGCAUCACUUUGCAGUUAAAACUCCGGUGGUUAUUGAUGGGCAUGCGCGACAUUAGCUAGUUGGUGAGGUAACGGCCCACCAAGGCUACGAUGUCUAGGGGUUCUGAGAGGAUUAUCCCCCACACUGGUACUGAGACACGGACCAGACUCCUACGGGAGGCAGCAGUAAGGAAUAUUGGUCAAUGGGCGCAAGCCUGAACCAGCCAUGCCGCGUGAAGGAUGACGGCCCUAUGGGUUGUAAACUUCUUUUGUACGGGAAAAAACCACCGGUCGUGUAUCGGUGCUGAUGGUACCGUAAGAAUAAGCAUCGGCUAACUCCGUGCCAGCAGCCGCGGUAAUACGGAGGAUGCAAGCGUUAUCCGGAUUCAUUGGGUUUAAAGGGUGCGCAGGCGGAGUGAUAAGUCAGUGGUGAAAGCCUACAGCUUAACUGUAGAACUGCCAUUGAUACUGUCAUUCUUGAGUAUUGUUGAGGUAGGCGGAAUGUGUCAUGUAGCGGUGAAAUGCUUAGAUAUGACACAGAACACCGAUCGCGAAGGCAGCUUACCAAGCAAUAACUGACGCUCAUGCACGAAAGCGUGGGGAUCAAACAGGAUUAGAUACCCUGGUAGUCCACGCCGUAAACGAUGAUCACUCGAUGUUGGCGAUACACAGUCAGCGUCUUAGGGAAACUAUUAAGUGAUCCACCUGGGGAGUACGGUCGCAAGAUGAAACUC
rnacentral:rRNA from 1 species